CUAACUUCAUUCUCAUCCCACACCAUGUUAAAUUCAGAUGGAAGAGGGAGAAAGUAGUCAGCUGCUUCUUAAACUGCUUCUAAGAUGCAAAUGAUGCUGUUGGACAAAUAUCUUACUUUGAUCCAACUGGCUCAGUGUCUGAUAUUUCUCCUCAACACUUUCAUAAAACAUGAGUCUCUUGCAAACCUUCCACCACUGCAGCACUAGUAACAAGAUACACAUUGCUGACUGAUGGAGAUGAUCUCUGUGUCUGGGAUGUGUCUUUACUGCUCCUAAUAGUCCAUCCAUGUGAAGUCAGACUGCUCUGGGUGCAGAGAAAAGAAAAAGAAAUCUAACAAAAUUUCAUAGAUAUUCUGUUCUACAAAGA